rnacentral:rRNA from 1 species
UAGAGUUUUGAUCAUGGCUCAGGACGAACGCUGGCGGCGUGCCUAAUACAUGCAAGUCGAGCGGACUGAUGGGAGCUUGCUCCCUGAAGUCAGCGGCGGACGGGUGAGUAACACGUGGGUAACCUGCCUGUAAGACUGGGAUAACUCCGGGAAACCGGGGCUAAUACCGGAUAGUUCUUUUCCUCGCAUGAGGAAAAGUGGAAAGGCGGCUUCGGCUGCCACUUACAGAUGGACCCGCGGCGCAUUAGCUAGUUGGUGAGGUAACGGCUCACCAAGGCAACGAUGCGUAGCCGACCUGAGAGGGUGAUCGGCCACACUGGGACUGAGACACGGCCCAGACUCCUACGGGAGGCAGCAGUAGGGAAUCUUCCGCAAUGGACGAAAGUCUGACGGAGCAACGCCGCGUGAGUGAUGAAGGUUUUCGGAUCGUAAAGCUCUGUUGUUAGGGAAGAACAAGUGCCGUUCGAAUAGGGCGGCACCUUGACGGUACCUAACCAGAAAGCCACGGCUAACUACGUGCCAGCAGCCGCGGUAAUACGUAGGUGGCAAGCGUUGUCCGGAAUUAUUGGGCGUAAAGCGCGCGCAGGCGGUCUCUUAAGUCUGAUGUGAAAGCCC